GAAAAAUUGAGGUAGCAUUCAUAUGGCAACUUCAUAUGACUUGAUGUGCUGCACAGUAGUCGUGUUUGCAAUGCUACCACUCAUGGAAAACAGCAGAGUACCUCUCGAAGCACACCCAAGAAAUCGACAGCAGAGGUUGCCUCUGAGGAGGGAAAUGGGGCACAGGAGCUGAGAAGAGGAGGAGAGUUCCUCUGAAUGUAUAAUGUUUGGUGCUCUUUGAAUUUUACACUAUGUGCAUGUAACCACUAUUCAAAAAUAACAUUAAACCCUUUACAUAUUUUAGUUACUAGGAGAUACUUGGCUGCUGUUCAUAGUGAGGAGGUCAUUAAUGGUAAUGGGGUCAGAAGAAACGACGGUCUAAGGGGAAAAUGCUGCAUUAUCUAUUUUCAGAAAUGAUCAUUUUGAUCUAUUAUUCAGAAUAAUAUUGAUUUGAACAGCAAUACCCUAUAACCAAGGGACCUGAAGGGAACAGUAUGCAGAGCCUAAGAUAAAGAAACCUGUAUAUUUUGUUGUGGUGAGAGUGCUGAAAGUGGAGAGUGGAAAGUCUGAGCCUUUACGUUUUUGAUGCCAGAGUAAUCAUUCAGAAGGCUUUUGAAGAGUAACGUAUUGACUACACUCUGUUACAUUUCAGUCAUUUUGCUAUCAUCCUUUUUUCCAGUACAUGCCAUAGAAUGUAGCAAUUCAAGAGCAAACUGUUGGAAAACAUGCUCAACUCAUCUUCCUCAGCUUGUUAUUUCUUCAAAUUAUCUAAUUC
rnacentral:lncRNA from 1 species